UUCAGUGAAACUCAUGGAUUUCUCAAUGCGUGUUAUCAUUCACUGACAUCACGAAACUCAUGUGGGCUUUGCCUUCACUCUCUUUCCAGUUGGGUAUUUUCCCUGAGCGGAGAAAACUUUCACUAAGACAAAACUGCAUUUCUGCCCUGUAAGGAGAGCAGAAACACGGUUCCCCUCCCAGCUUCCGUGGUCAGGGGCCAUCGGUGGCUGCAUUACAUCUCCAGACCAACACAACGCACAGCUCUGGGCGGCCGUUCCAUUGCCCCCCACCUGCCGCACCCAGGUGCCCCUGCAUCCCCAGCUCACCCGUUCCCCUCCACCUGCAAACAGCCCCAUUACCGCACCCACCCACUCCCACUCUCAUUUAGGAGAGGCACUAAUUAAGCACACCCUGGGUGGUCCCGCUCCCAGGGAGGGGCUGGAGGUACCGACCCUGGAGGUGUUGAACCGUGGAGCUCCCAUGUGGUUGGAGGCACUGGCAGGAGGAGCUGUAGCCCACGGCCAGGUGAGGGCAGGUAAGUGCUGGGAGCCUGCAGCACUCGCAUCCCAUCCCACACCUUACACAGUGAGUGCAAGGCAGCUCACUGCUGUGACACGCAGAGCUCAGAGCCAUUCUCCAUCAGAAACACACAGCACUCUCCCAGGUAUGUAUUUCCCCAUCUAUCCCAGAUUUCCAGCUUCUCUGCGAGCUGCUUGGUGGGCACGUGUUGAAAGCUUUGCAACAGUGUCCUGCACCUUGUCCAGCUACAACCAGGACUUUGCAUUACUUAAUAUAUUUAUAUAAGUGGAUGCUACGACUGAGCUGAUUUGCUAUUGCCUUUUUAACGUAUUUUAUUCUGUUUUCUCGAGCUGCUUGAAGAGAUGGAAGCAGUGAUCCUCCCCAGGUGCAGCCCUUCGCAGUGCUCUUGCAGAAGCAGAGCUGAAGCACUGUGGGGCUGCUCUGCUGCACCCCGGCUGGGUUUCCCUUCGGCUGUUGGCUCUUUACAGCACAGCAGUUGCACUUUGCAGAGCUGGAGCUGCUGCCAUCAGCACAGAGGACAUUGAAGUGAUGGAAAAAAUACUUUUUUUCUUUUUGCAAAUAUUGAAUUGGCUGUUUCCAAUAGGCUGGCACGGGCCGGGAGGGCUCUUGAAAUCCUGUUCUUCAGUUUGCUAAAGGGGCAGAGCAGCACAGGGGCUGAGCUCCCUGUGGGACAGGCCUGGCUGCUGCCGUCGUUCUGCGCUGCUGUGACGUUGCUUUUUGGGAAAAUGAAUUGAAGGAAGUUGUCACAUAACUGGGGGAAAAAAAGUCAAGAGGAAACAAAGAAGUCUGGGCUGUCUGCACAGGUCUGGGCGCUCUGUGCUGCAGCCUCAGCCUCUGCUCUGCACAGGGAAUGAUGGAGGGUCAGAGUACCUUUAUUUUCUGGUUGCAGAUGGUUUGUCCAUUCUAAAGGUACAUGAGCAUCAUGUCAGCUUUAGGAAAAAAAAGCUUCUCCCCCUUUCCUUUCCUUCCUUCUUUCCUCCUUUCUUUCUUUUUCCCUUCCUUCCCUUCAGCAGUUUAAGGACACACGAGGUUUGCCCUGCUAAGCUGUGUAUUCAGCUGCUGGCACUGUGAUUCCUGGCCAACAGCUGAUGCACCACAGCCCCUAAGGGAAGAAGGAAAGGCAGUGGAUCAUUGCCCCACAAGCUCUGGGGGUGCAGCUGUGCCAUGUUGCAGCACUGUGGGUUUGGGGAGUGGGGUAUUUCUGUCUGUUUGCACUGUGUAACUGCUUGUUCUUUGUAGUUGCAGGUUGAUAGCACCUGGAAGGCAAAAAAAAAACAAACAAAAACAAACCAAAUCAACACAAAAGUCCUGAGGUGGUAAUGCAUGCAUGUUCAUGUCUUCAUGUAGAGCGUUCGUCGCUGCCUUAUGUCAUGAUUUACAAAUAAUAAUAAUAAUAAUAAUAA